GCCUCACAGAGCCACUAGUGCAAAUCAAAAAUGUUUCUUUAUCUUAUGUGUUUGUUAAAAAACAAAUAUUGGCCAGUAAAUCAUUAUUUUGAUUUUUUAAAACUUUAAAAUAUCGACAUCAGUAUUAGCAUUAAAAAUCCACUAUCUGUCAGGAUCUAGUUUUAAACAAACAAGCUCAGAUAAACCCACUGCCCAGCACCAAAGGGCAGACAAAGUUAGCAACUAGACAGUGAAGAAAGCAUUAUAUCUAGUAGCUAAAAAGCCAGAUAUUUUCUUAGCGGUUGGGAGAGACCAGAGCUAAAAGGAAAGUAAAUAUUGGACUUAUAUUCAUUAGGUGGCCAAAAACAUGACACCAAAUGAAUGCUAAUGUUGCUCCAUGUCUGCUAGAUAUGUAAAUAUGCGACUGUUUUGUAAUGUUAGCAAUAACAACUUUAUAAGGCAAUGUCAGGACUGUGGCUUUGUCAGCUUGUUCUUCUGCCUCCAAGUGGCCAAAAUAAAUAAAUAUGAAAAGUAUUAAUGCAGCUUUAAGACAGCAGCCUAUUUAACAGCAUCCAUCCAUAUUCAUUAUUAAAUUCACACUAGUGGAUUUGUUGUGACCACUCAAGCAGUUUGUUAAUGUCUUGGUAGUAACAUAUCCAACCCAGUACUGCCAUAACAAAUCCAGUGAGACAACAGUAUAUGACGGUCAUUGGUCUCAUUAAACCCAUAUGCUCCACACACCCACUUGUUUACUGUUAUGUUCAAUAAAACCAAAGCUAGAAAACAUUAAAUGGGUUACCACUGAGUCUCAACUCAUGGGUGAACAGGAGAGCGGGUGCGUGGGCUGCUUGCUGCUACAAGGUAUGGGUGUCUCUUGACUUCCCAAGGGGAAAAAGCUGUUGAGCAUGCGGGUCACACCGAGUGGGUGGCUAAUAUUCUGACUCAAGCUCAUGGCUGGACAGUGUCAGGUCUUCCUGACCCCUCUAGGGGAACGGAACACAGGAGAGAGCAGCUGAAAUAGUAAGACUGUUGCACGUCUCCACCAACACACAGUCUGCCUCAGUGGACACUGUAGAUAAUGUGCAAAGCAAGACUAUGUGGAACAACCAGAAAAAGUGUCCUGAAGCUCUGUGCCAUUUCAAAAGGACAGAAGGAACAGUGGCUGCAUUUUUGUGCACAAAGAAUCCCUUUAUAAACCAAACCACUCAAGUAGCUUAGUUUUGGGUUGACAUACUCUGUGCGGACAUCUUAAGUGGGUUAGAAUCAGUGGGAAAACUCAAGCACUAAGAAACAAAAAAUCACUCCUAUUUGAAACAAUUUACUGUGACCCAGAAAAAUCAGACUCCUGUCAUUUUAGUUUUUUAAAUUAUCUGCACAAAACGUUUAUGUGUAAGACACUAUGGGUUCUUGUUUAGAUGAGAAACCUUUCCAUUUUAUCCGUCAACCUUGUCAUUUAAGUUGAGUAGAAACAUUUCAAAACGGGACAUGUGUGAUUCCAUUUGGGGGUUCCCAGCGCCCACUGCACAGGGUGGUUGGGAUAUCUUCAACGAGGGUCCACAGAAGCUUUCUUUGACCCAAGCCCUCUGUGACACUGUGUCACAGUGGGCUGGAAUCACCUAAGAUAAAUUUAGGUGAGUGGCCAAACAUAACAAAAAUUGUCAUCUACGCUAUCUUCCUCCCUCUCUCACCUUUUCCCAGCCAAUGUAUGGGGUCUAAGAAAACAAAGGGCAUAUUUAUCUAUCAUUUUAAAGAUUGUGAAGUUGGCUUAAACCGAUCACUGUAAGCACUGGUAAAAUUGUGUGAGUCUCACUGAACAGUAAAAAACAGUUAAAUAGAAAGUAUACUGGCCCUACAAGUAGAAAGCAGUACAUCAUAUCGCCGAUGAGAGCAAAUCAUCUACCAGUCAUUCCGUUAGAAUGCCGGGUUGGACUUACACACGUCCAGAGUUGUUUAUUAAAUGUGCGAUGAUAAGCACUGAUAAAACCAUGCUCAUCACACUAAUUGAGUGCCAAAUAGCUAGGUAGUUAGUGAAUAAGUACAAGAUGAUUGUCAUUUAAGUACUAUGCCUGAUUUUACAGGGCUGACAUUGCCAGAAGAAUUAAAGGUUCAGACAAAGACUGUGAUAUGUGUAAAUAAUAAAAUAAUUAUUUAACUAUAGCAAGUUUUGUCUUUAAGCUUUUUGGGUGUUAUCUAUAGUAAUAAUAAUAAUGGUACUAAAUGAUGUGAAAUUGCAUAGUUUUAAGUCAUGAACCUUCAAAUUUUCUUGGCAGAGGACCCUAAACCCAGGUAGCAGGUAACCAAGAGGAAUGGUCAGUGAUGAGGGUAGUGAGGAUGGGAGCGCAGAGGAAAGAAGAUUGUUGCAGUAUCGUUGUUUUACUGACCUCCUCCAAUUCAGCUGCAGCGCUCGAUUACCCCUGAGGUCAAGAUAACUGCAACACUGAAACUAUAAACUAUUGAUCUGCCUGGUGAUAUUCAAAGUGGGGUGGAGGCAGGGUUGAUGGUGUUAGGCCGGCCACAGUAUAUCCUGGCCUCAAUGAUGAAUUAGAUUUUGCACCUUUUUGUAUGUAGUGUAUUAAGUUAGGUUGUCUUCAUAGUGUUCACGUCUCUGUGUGUGUCACAGUUUGACCCUAAGGAAGAAUGGUAUACCGUUCAUACACGUUGGUCUUGUUUUUAAAAUCACACAGCCAGGAUAAUAAAGGCUUUUUAACUUUUUUACUUGAACGAAACAGUGUGCCUUAACCUUUUUGGGGAAUCCAUCUAUUUCUUGUGGAUAGCAGGAAUUGUAUUUAACUGGGGAACUUUGCUGGAGAAGGGUGGGUUGCAGAUAUACACGCUAGAGGCACAGGAGCACUGAGAUAGAUAUGUAUUUUACACCAAAUUUGGCUCUGAUCUGUGGUUGUUUCUCAGUGUACCUGUAAAUCUUGGAGUAGUUCAAUCCUGCUAUGUUGUUUGUGAGUGAUUCUGUUCUAAGAACAUGGAGAAGUGAUUAAUUGCUGUGACAUUAAGAACAUGGAAAUUGAGAAAUAAAGGGCAUUGAAGGCUACAUAAAAUCAAGCAUGAACAGCUGGUUUUACUGUAUCCGUUAAUUAACUCUUAAAGCCUGUUUAAAUCAUUAUAAAUUUUGAGGUCUGUUUAUUACGCUCUUAUGAAGUCAACAUCAAAAUAAUAAUUGUGAUACCUGUCCAGCAGGUGUCGCCCUGUUAACUUCUAAACAAAAUGUGUCUUGUAUGUACAAUAUAUUAUCCUGUGCUUUUGGCUGAAGGAGCACAUUUGCAGCCCACCUGAAAAAAACCAACAGGAUGAUGUGCAGGAGGGAGAAGGAGAGGGAAGGAGUGAGAGUGAGUCAUAAUGCUAGGAGAAAUGAGCUGACUGGAUCAGAAGCCUGGUGACAUACAUUAAGAACUGCAGUCCAACUGCGCUGACCUAUGCUCAAGUGCAUAAACUGGAAGGGAAUGCAGUUUUCCUCAUCUAUUAACCUCAACAAUUCAGCAUGGAGCUGGGAGAAACUAACCAUAAGUAAACUAAACCUGGUGCUGAUGUAAAUAGUGAUGUGGAUUUCACAAAGCCGAGGGUAUAUCACAGAGAAGUAUAACUAGGAUAUAAAAAGGCAGUGGUAGUGUGGGGGGAAGUACGAUGACAAAAGAAGAGCAUAGACAGCUCAGCAGGCAUGGUGUCUUUAUUUCAGAAGCUACCCUUAGGAGAUAAAUAUCUAACUGCAUACACAGACCCCCACAUCUUUCCACUGCCUCCCUCUUUGUCCUCCACCCAGCCUCAACCCCCACUGCCUCCUAUUGUUGCCCCUUCCUCCUCCACUCCUCCCCCUCUGCAGGUCUGCCAGAAUAACAGCAGCUGAUGAUGGGCUCGACUGAACUCAGAGCAGAGCUUGGCACAGUGGGGCUGAAUACAGUCUUUUUUGGCAUUUUCUCUUUUUGCUUGUGUAUGUUGUUUAGGUGGUAGCUGUAUGGGUGUGUGCAUGCUCAACCAGCCCCCACAGCAGUGAGAAAGGAGGAGACAACAGUAAGCGUGAGCAAUGUCUUUUCCCCCUCCCAACUCCUUCGCUCUCUUUCUAAUGCUCCUUCAUUGCCACGGCCAUCAGGAUCCGUCCUCCCUCUCGCCAUCAUUCUGCUUGGUUAUACAAUCCUCAGUCCUCCCAUGGUGACUACCUGGUGUUGGAGAUCUAUCGUAACACUGCUGUCACUGGCGGCAGAUCCAUAAUGCCAUAACAACUGUCUGGCACUCCGGCUGCCUCUGUCUCUCUACAGACGUCUGCUCCAUGGGAUUUUACAGCUUUUCCUCCUCUUCUGGAAUAUCACCUGCCAGACUAAUUCAGGGACCUGCCUGUUCUUACAUAGCUCAGCGGAGGCUGGGUGUCAUUGAGACAAUAUCAGCUGAUCCUACAGAUAUAAUCAUGCACAGUGUUGGCAUGUGGGCUUCAGUGAUGAGCAAGAGGCUUUUUUGAAAGGCACCUCUGUUCCCCAGAAGAGUCCGAAGCAAGCGGGAGGGACGCUACAGAACAAGGGGGUGUGUGGAUUUACUGAUAAGCUGGGGAGGCAGGUGGAGGAGUUGUGUGUAGGAGUUUAGGAAAAGAAGGGACAGGGAACUCAAGCGAGGGAGCAGACAGGGAUGAUGAGAGGAAUGAUGGGGAGUUGGGAGGGGGCAAAUGGGGAGGGGGUUUCUCCUCGCCCCUUAAAAAGAGGGUGCUAGCGCUUUAGCAGCAGCAAUGCAAACCUGCUGACAAAAACCUGACUGCAAAGAUUUGUGAGGGUGAACUUAAUCAACAGGGAAGUUGGGGGUGUGGGAGGUUGUUGAACCUGACAGGUGGCGCGAUAAACUAGGGGAGUGGAGAAGUGACACAAGGGGGUUUUCACUGGAAGCGUCGCUGAGCACCGCAAAGCCGCCGUGGCACCGCUGCCUUCUCCUCCUCUCUCCAUCACUUUGUCUGUCGCUCACAGGCACUGGGACUGUGGCUAUAUAUCCAUUCUCUCCCCCCUUCUCCCCCAGGUCUCCACAUGUAGCAUGCCCUCAAAGCCAUGGUCCAAAAAGCAUGCCGGAUGAUGAUGAUGAUGUUUUACACCUUAGACGCCUUAGGAUAAGUGGCCCCUUGCCAGGUUAGGAGAGCAUCAUGAUCAUGGGCACCACAGUUAUCACCCUUGAGGACGUGCGGGCACUGGAGGUCAAGGAGGAGCAGGAGGAGUCCAUCUUGGCCAUGUUAGGCAUCAUUGGCACAUUCCUUAACCUCUUUGUAAUUGUUUUUGUUUACAUCUACACUACACUCUGAAGUGCCAAAGUAAAAGAUAAAGGAUUUCCAAAAACCUGCCAUCAGAUAAGACUUCUACAAGAACGGUUGAAGUGAGCAGUAGGGAAAAACAGGUUAGUUAGAAAGUGAUACGUGUUGGGUGAGAAGUCUGACAUGAACAUCUUCCCCAGAGAGUGGAGGAGGAAACUGGACAGACUGGCUAAGGAUGAAGACGAGGAAGCCAUAUUGCCAAGUCACAGCCAUGAGCCAGGGAGAUAAAGGGUUGGAAGAGAUGGCAGGAACAGGGCUAUGCUAGGACCUCUGUGAACAGAGCCGGUCAGGACUGACCCCGCUGUGGCCUGGUAGGAAAUACAAACUUCCCUUUGAUCUAAUUUUCUUGGACUGCUGGAUUCACUGGAAACAUGAUCUACACAAGACAGCCUUGUGGACAACACUGAUGCUUUUCCAUUUUUUUUUAACUUAAUUUUCAAAUUGGUGUGACUAAUUGCUAUUUGCCUGGAGGGGAUUUUAAGCAACAUGAUUAAAAGCAGAGAAAGAACUAAGAACUAUGCUGGGAAGCUGCUCUGGAGACACUGUUGGCCACCAUAUUCAAUCAGUCUUCAGGGCCAAAAAUGUUAUGGCUUCAGGGUCCCUGUCAAAGAGUACCCUUCCCCAGAAAUGUGGCUCUGGACACUGUUGUACUGUCGUCUCCUAAGAUACCUGCCAUCGCAAAAAUGCCUCCAACCCACAAAAAAUAACCAUCAACAAUAAACACAUUUCUAUACUUCAAGAAAUGUGAAAAUCCAAAUAAAAACAUAUUUUUUUAAUAGCUAAAAGGUCUAUUACAUCUGAAAGAAAUGAAAGAACGAGAUCAACUUGUAAUUAAACAAUGUAGCUGAUUUACAUGCAAGAUGAAUCGGCCUAUCUUCUACUUUCUUUUUCUGCACCUCUGUCCACCUUUUGACAUAAAGCUUCACUAGAUUUUUUUUGUUUGUGUUGAUUUCAGGGUAGUGACAGCAAUCCUUUUCCUGUAUUAAAAAGGCUUUUUAUAGAUAUUUGAAUAAAGUCUAGAUGUAUUGUGCAAUAGGGGACAUUUGAACAAUAAACACCAGAGCAUAUCAAUAA